rnacentral:rRNA from 1 species
AAAUUGAAGAGUUUGAUCAUGGCUCAGAUUGAACGCUGGCGGCAGGCUUAACACAUGCAAGUCGAACGGUAACAGGAAGCAGCUUGCUGCUUUGCUGACGAGUGGCGGACGGGUGAGUAAUGUCUGGGAAACUGCCUGAUGGAGGGGGAUAACUACUGGAAACGGUGGCUAAUACCGCAUAACGUCGCAAGACCAAAGAGGGGGACCUUCGGGCCUCUUGCCAUCAGAUGUGCCCAGAUGGGAUUAGCUUGUUGGUGAGGUAACGGCUCACCAAGGCGACGAUCCCUAGCUGGUCUGAGAGGAUGACCAGCCAC